CCAAUAGCGUAUAUUAAAGUUGUUGCAGUUAAAAAGCUCGUAGUUGAAUUUUGGAUUCUACCAAUCGGUCCAUCUUUUGAUGAGUACUGGUUGUGUGGGGUCUAUCCGCCUGGUGAUACGUAAUGUCCUUUAUUGGAUGUUGCGGGUAGUCAGGACCUUUACCUUGAAAAAAUUAGAGUGUUUAAAGCAGGCUUAUGCCGGAAUACAUUAGCAUGGAAUAAUAGAAUAGGACGAAGUUGUUUUAUUUUGUUGGUUUCUAGGACAACCGUAAUGAUUAAUAGGGAUAGUUGGGGGCAUUAGUAUUCAAUUGUCAGAGGUGAAAUUCUUGGAUUUAUUGAAGACUAACUAUUGCGAAAGCAUUUGCCAAGGAUGUUUUCAUUAAUCAAGAACGAAAGUUAGGGGAUCGAAGACGAUCAGAUACCGUCGUAGUCUUAACCAUAAACUAUGCCGACUAGGGAUCGGGCGAUGUUGUUUCAAUGACUCGCUCGGCACCUUAUG
rnacentral:misc_RNA from 1 species